rnacentral:tRNA from 1 species
CAGAAAUUCAGNUUAAGCUAAAGCUAAUAAGUUUGGGGCUUGNUAAAUAAAAUAAUUUUUAUUUCUGA